rnacentral:lncRNA from 13 species
GGGACACAAGAGGUGGGGCCUGCUGCACUUCGAGGGCACCGAGAAGAAAGAGCUGCCAUCAACCCUGCCCGGUUUUCCCAGAUCCUCUGAAAAUGGACCUCCGCGAGGAGCAGCUCGGCAACAGGAGCCACAGCGCCACCUACAGGCUUCCUUCGUGCCGUUUGCCUUCAAAUGCCCCUUCUCAGCUGCAGCAUCACUGGAGGGAACUGCGGAGAGUUCGGUUGGCAGAUGAGGAAGAAGGGGGCCACAGGAAGGAGCCGAUUUGCUCAAGGACACAGGGCAAACGUGUGGCAGAAGUGAGAAUGACAAAAGUCCUGAUCACAACAGUGGAUCGCGGCGCCUGCUGUAACGCGCCAGACACUGUGCUAAGCAUCACCAUCCCUCAUCUUCAUGACAAUUAAAAAGCAAGCCGCAUCACCCACACUUACAGAGAAGGAAACUGAGGCUCAGAGGAGGUAAGAUACUUGCUGGAGGCCACAGUUAGUGGCCAACUCUGGAGUCCCUGUCCCCGACUGCCAUGCAAUUCUGCCUCCCCCAGGGACUCCUUUCUGGCAUCCUGACUCUUCUUGGAGGACUUUUUGCAACUGCUGGUUGGCGAAGGGGAAAAUCUAAUUUUUGAAGGAUAAUGAAGAAAGGGAGGAAGGCAGGAGAAGAAACAGAAUACAAGAGCCAAGUUGGCCCCCAUAAUAAAAUGUCAUCCCACAAGAUGUAAGACA